rnacentral:rRNA from 1 species
UACGUAGGGUGCGAGCGUUAAUCGGAAUUACUGGGCGUAAAGCGUGCGCAGGCGGCUAUUUAAGCUUGCUGUGAAAGCCCCGGGCUUAACCUGGGAACUGCAGUGAGGACUGGAUGGCUGGAGUGUGGCAGAGGGGGGUGGAAUUCCACGUGUAGCAGUGAAAUGCGUAGAGAUGUGGAGGAAUACCGAUGGCGAAGGCAGCCCCCUGGGCCAGUACUGACGCUCAUGCACGAAAGCGUGGGGAGCAAACAGG